UACAGAGGCCCCAAGCGUUACUGAGAAUCACUGGGUUUAAAGGGUGCGUAGGUGGCGCGUUAAGUCCGUUGUGAAAUCCCUGGGCUCAACCCAGGAAUUGCUUCGGAUACUGGCGUGCUUGAGGCCGGUAGGGGUCACUGGAACUGACGGUGGAGCGGUGAAAUGCGUAGAUAUCGUCAGGAACGCCGAUGGUGAAGACAGGUGACUGGGCCGGAACUGACACUGAGG
rnacentral:rRNA from 1 species